rnacentral:rRNA from 1 species
GUUAGGAAUAUUGGACAAUGGGCGCAAGCCUGAUCCAGCCAUGCCGCGUGAGUGAUGAAGGCCUUCGGGUUGUAAAGCUCUUUAGCCGAUGAUUAUAAUGACUGUAGUCGGAAAAUAAGCCCCGGCUAACUUCGUGCCAGCAGCCGCGGUAAUACGAAGGGGGCGAGCGUUAUUCGGAAUCACUGGGCGUAAAGCGUGCGUAGGCGGUUUUGUAAGUUAGGAGUGAAAGCCCAGGGCUCAACCCUGGAAUUGCUCUUAAAACUACAAGGCUAGAAUGUCGGAGAGGAUAGCGGAAUUUCCAGUGUAGCAGUGAAAUGCGUAGAUAUUGGAAGGAACACCAGUGGCGUAAGCGGCUAUCUGGACGACUAUUGACGCUGAGGCACGAAAGCGUGGGGAUCAAACAGGAUUAGAAACCCCUGUAGUCC